rnacentral:rRNA from 1 species
AUCCCUACGGGGCGCAGCAGUGGGGAAUAUUGCACAAUGGGGGGAACCCUGAUGCAGCGACGCCGCGUGGGCGAUGGAGUAUUUCGGUAUGUAAAGCCCUAUCGGCAGGGAAGAAACUGACAGUACCUGACUAAGAAGCCCCGGCUAACUACGUGCCAGCAGCCGCGGUAAUACGUAGGGGGCAAGCGUUAUCCGGAUUUACUGGGUGUAAAGGGAGCGUAGACGGGGUGGCAAGUCUGAAGUGAAAGCCCGGGGCUCAACCCCGGGACUGCUUUGGAAACUGUCAUGCUGGAGUGCUGGAGAGG